GGUAAGGAUUGUGCCUGGAAAACAAUCUUAUUCCACCGUUUCGUAAGCUCAGGAUACAGUCUCCUCCUGAAAAUUGGGUGAAGAGUUAUUAUAUGUGAGAAAAAAAGAGAAAUGGUACAAUCCUGCUCCUGACACAAGUCAAAGAGAAGAGGAUGGAAAUUUGUAAUUUCUUAAAUGUAAAAUUUGUUUCGUUCACUUGCAGGUGUGAAGUGCUGCUAACUUGGUUCAAGCGUGGAGCAGCAAAUUGUAAAGUCUGAGUAUAAGACUUGGUCAGAGUUUGACUGGUUCUCUGUAUCACAACAACACAAAUUUUUUAACAUGUAAAUUGAUUUAUAUUUCCUCUUUGACGUUUUGGAAAUAUAAAAUAGCUUAUGCAAUGUAGGGAGUAGUGACAAUUCCCGUGUUUGAUCAGACAGGGACAGAAAGAUGGCUGCAACACCAAGAUGGAUACGCUAGAAACAGCUAGAAACAAGCGCUUCGAUGGUUCCAACAGCUAGAAACAGGCGGCUGCUGGAUGGAGAACAAGACGGUAAUGAUAUCUCCACUCUAAACUCCAAGAAAUCUCCAUUGCACCAUCACCAAAGAACUCAACUAUGGCUGCCACCAGGGAGGAGUUGUUGGGCGUUGCCGAGCCUGCACCACUGCCCCCGCCGACCCACGGUGACUCCCAGAAACCACAGAAUGACCUGUCCCUGGCUUAUAUCGUGCGCAUGCUCAUGGAGGAUGACACCGUUGACACGUUUCCAGACCAGUACCCUGACCACCCGAAGCUCCUGCAGGCCGAGCAGAACUUCGCUCAGAUCCUCUCUGCAGCUAACAUCACCUCAGCUCCCGGCGGUGCGCUUGACACCGCCUUGCUGCCCAGCAGAGACAACAACAACAACAACAGUACGCUGUUUCCUGGUGAGAACAGCAGUACCAGCAAGGCAUUCUUCAAAGGCAUGGUGGAUGCCAGCAUGUUGUUGCCCAGAGACAAUGGGGUAUUGGAUGGUAGGGGGUAUAAGAAAAGGUUUGACAUGGAUGAUGAAACAGAGGCAGGCAGGGGCAGGGGCAGGAGCAGGACUGACUCUGAAGAGGAGGACACCGCACUCAAGAUGUUGGACCGGCUCAUCCUCAAUGGCUAUGACAAGUACCCCGGUGAGAUGCAGGAUGUACUAAUCACUCUGGACAAGGAGAAGAACGCAACACAGAAGAGAAUCCGCUGGCGUGGGAGGGGCGGUGCGAGGCAGACCGAGACCACAGUGACUGACCUAGAAACACUGCUGAUCCGCUGUGCGGAAUCAGUCAGCAGAAACGACCGGCACAGCGCGAUCGAGGUGCUGGAGCGGAUCAAGCGGUACUCCUCGCCAAGGGGGGACGCUAGGCAGCGUGUGGCGUAUUACUUCGCCCAGGGGCUGGAAGCACGGCUGGCCGGCACAGGGAGCGAGUUGUACCGCUCGCUUGUUGGGAAGCACACCUCCACCUUGGAGCUCGUCCAGGCCUACCAUCUGCAGAUGGCCACAUGCUGCUUCGUCAAUGUGGCUUCGCUCUUCUCCAACUAUACCAUUUACAACGCUGUUGCUGGUAGGAGAAAGCUACACAUUGUGCAUUAUGGCAUCAUCACCGGGUACAAGUGGCCAGAGCUGAUCCAGAGGCUGGCAGACAGGGAGGGUGGGCCACCAGAGGUGAGGUUCACUACCAUCAACAAUCCUCAGCCUGGGUUCUGUCCGGCUGAGCUAAUCAAGGAGGCAGGUCACCGGCUCAGUGCUUGCGCAAGCAAGUUCGGCGUGCCAUUCAAGUUCCAUGCUGUCGCAGCCAAGCUGGAGUCUGUCCAGGCUGAGGACCUCCACUUUGAUCCCGAUGAGGUGCUCAUCGUCCACAGCCUAUUCCAGUUCAGGACAAUGCUAGACGAUAACCUCACCGGUGACAAGGUAAACCCAAGGGACAUGGUGCUCAACACUAUCAGGAAGAUGAAGCCAUCCGUGUUCGUACAUGCCGUCGUCAAUGGAUCAUACAGCGCGGCUCUUUUCAUGACGCGGUUCCGUCAAGCGUUGUACUACUUCACGGCAUUGUUUGACAUGAUGGAUACUGCCAUUCCACGGGGCAACGAUAAGAGAAUGCUGGUGGAGCGGGACAGUUUUGCUUGGUCUGCGAUUAACAUGAUCGCCUGUGAAGGCACAGACCGGGUGGAGCGCCCUCAGAACUACCGGGAGUGGCAGGCGCAGAACCAGCGGGCAGGGCUGAGGCAGCUGCCGUUGGACUGUGAUAUUGUUCUGAGUCUCAAGGAUGAAGUGAAGAAUAAGUACCACACACAUUUCAUGGUUUACGAGGAUCACCGGUGGGUUCUGCAGGGAUGGAAAGGCCGGGUGCUAUGUGCCCUCGCGACAUGGACAGUUGAUGAUACUAGUGCUUCUGAAGUGACAUAGAUAGAUACUAGAUUUAUGCACCAAAGGAUAUACAUUUGAUCUGGUGACUUUAUCAUUGUUUUGUUUUAUAGGUGUUUAUCUGUGCAGCAUCAGUUGUGAAGUGACAUAGAUUCAUACCAAUGGAUGCUUUUGUGAAGUACGGCCAAGAACAUUUUUAUGCAUCUGAUUGGUCAAAACUCUUAUACGUUACAUAAUGAAAAUCUAAUGUGCAAUCUGCACCAAGGUGUACAUAUAGAAUAAAGUCUCGCUUAUCAUUCACUUUUUGUGUUUUUCUAAGGAAAACACUUUUUGUGGUUGACAUUGAGAUCUUUGUUCAUCGAUAUUAUAAACUAUAAACUAAACUGUACAAUUGCUGAGCUAAACCACCAGUUGUUCCCAACUUUAAACCGGCAGAAUUGUUCUCCUAAAGAAACGGUUUAGCAUUUCAUAUCUUAUAGGAUAGAUCACGUACCGUUGAUCACAACUAUCUUUCCCAUAGAAAUCCUGGAUAAUCAAUCAUCUUCUUGUCAUGGCAUGAAUCGACAGUAUAGUCAAAAAAUAUACUUUCCAUUGAAACUAUUUUUCCCAAACAGUAGUGUUGGUAAGUAACCUCGUUAAAUUGCACGACGAGAUAAUACUUUGUGAGGCAUUCCGACAUCUGAAAGAAAAAACAAAGAGGAAUGUAAUAAAAAAAUGUAAAAAAGAUCAGCAUCAGAGGCAAACUAUCGGUCACUUUCUCUUGUGAAGUUGCAUGAUGAGAAGAUAUUUUUGUGAGACAUUCCAAAAUCUGAAAAUAAGUAAACAAAGAUGAAUAGAAUAAAAAAAGAUCAACAAGGCAAACCAGCUACCAGUGACAACAAUGCUGAAAAGCACCGAAAGGAAAAACAAAGGUUCACCAAUGGCAGGGACAUUAAGGUUCUUGGAAUGGGCGUACAAGCGUCAAAUCAAUAUAGUAUAUAGACCAUAAAAAACAUCCAAGGGGGGAAUUUUAAAUAUGAUAUGUCAUUUUGCAGCAGAAAACAAUGACAGACAAACAUCACAUAUUGGGUAUGGUAGCCAGGUGAACAUAUGAGAUGACCAGAUCGGGCAACCCCACUGCUAAGAAAGACUCUAACUUGAUACAGAAUUACAGUGCAACAGUAGAAUUAUUCUUGUACUCCUUAAUUAUAACCUUCCUGUAUUGUACAUCGAAUUUUCCACCAACUGGUAGUACAUUAAUACAAUAAAGCUACACAUGAGUUGUUCUACCGCUUAAUGCUAAACUAUCUUCGAUACCUGGUUGUAUAUUACUUUUAAUCUGAUGUAUCAUGAUCUGGCUGGGUCUUUUUCACAAGUUUUCUCAUUCAGACAUGAUAUCUGUAAGUUAAUUAGGAGCAAUUCUUGGACAUACACAACUGAGGAAACAAUGUGAUAAAAUCAGCCAGGUAAGAGGGCUGGAGAGUUUGAAUAUGUAGUUUCUUUUAUCUAACAAAACCAUUCGUUCACUUGCAGGUGUAAGUAUUAAUAAUUUCGUCAAAACCUGGAACAGGAAAGAGACAUAAAAUUGAUUUCUACAAGGCAAUUGCUGCUUCAGAUCAGACAGGGACACAAGGAUGGCUGCAAUAUCAAGACGAAUAUAAUCCCUAUCUCAAAAACCUUUCUUAAUUUUUCCACAUGUGCAGGCGCUGCGGGGUGAUUAAACCAACCUUCUGCAAUGUAAAGCUUCAAUGGUUCCAACAGCUAGAAACUAACCGGGUUCGAUGAUGACCAAAAUGAUAACGGUAUCUCCAUUCCAAGUCCGAGUAGCGCAUUAUAAUGAUAUUUCCACCAAAACAUCACCAAGCAGUGCAUGUACCCCACUAUGGCUACCACCCAAGAGGAGUUGUUGGGUGUUGUCGACUCUGCGCCACUGCCUCCGUCCGUAGUCCUCGACCUUCCCCCGAUGACCCACGGUGACUCAAAGCGGCCACAGGAUGACCUGUCCAUGGCAUACAUCUCGCGCAUGCUAAUGGAGGAUGACAUCAUUGACAAGUUCUCCUACCAGUACCCUGAGCACCUGAAGCUGCUGCAGGCCGAGCAACCAUUUGCCCAGAUUCUCUCUGCCGAUGCCACCACCUCAUCCAAUGUUGAGGAGUCAUCGGGAUCUGACGUGCUGGCCUCUGCCUUGCUUCCCAGCAAGGUGCAGGAUUCAGCUGCCUUGUCGAAUAGCACAGGUGCAGCACAGUCCAGCAGUACACUAUUUCCUAGUGAGAGCAGCACCAACAUGGACAUGCUGUCAAGCAUGGCAUUCUAUAAAGGCAUGGAGGAGGCCAACAUGUUCUUGCCCAGAUGUAAUAGGAUGGUGGAUGGUAGAGGGCGUAAGAACAGGUUUGACAUGGAUGGUGAGAUGGAAGGCGGCAUGGGCAGGAGCAGCAAGCAAAUAGUGCUGGUGCAUACUGAUUCGGCAGAGGAGACCACCGCGCUCAAGAAGUUGGACCGACUCGUCCUCUAUGGCUCUGACACGUGUUCCGGUGAGAUGCAGGAGAUACUCAUCAACAAGGAGAAGAUGGCAGCAGAGAAGAGCAUCCGCAGGCGUGGGAGAGGCAGUGCGAGGCAGAUGGUGGUGACUGACCUAGAAACGCUACUGAUCCGCUGUGCAGAAGCAAUGACCAGCAACGACCGACGCAGCGCGAGUGAGCUGCUAGAGCGGAUCAAGCGGUACUCCUCGCCGACGGGGGACGCUAGGCAGCGGCUGGCACAUUACUUCGCCCAGGGACUGGAGGCACGGCUGGUUGGCACAGGGAGCCAACUCUACCGCUCGUGCAUGGGGAGGCGCACCAGUAUUGUAGAGCUCAUUAAGGCGUAUCAUCUGUACAACGCCACCUGCUGCUUUGUCAAGAUGGCAAUGCUCUUUUCCAACAAGACCAUCUACAAUGCCGUUGCAGGGAGGAGGAAACUGCAUAUUGUGCACUAUGGCAUCAACAGCGGAUUGCAGUGGCCGAAAUUGAUCCGGUGGCUGGCGGAAAGGGAGGGUGGGCCACCGGAGAUAAGGAUCACCGGCAUCAACAUGCCUCAGCCAGGGUUCAAUCUGGCAGAGCAAAUCAAGGAAACAGGGCAACGGCUAAGCAAUUAUGCUAGCAAGUUCGGUGUGUCAUUCAAGUUCCAUGCUAUCAUAGCCAAGCUAGAGGCUGUCCAUGCUGAGGACCUGCACAUCGAUCCCGAUGAGGUGCUCAUUGUGAAUAGCUUAUUCCAGUUCAGGAUCUUGAUGGAUGAGAGCCUCAGCUUUGACAACGUAAGCCCAAGGGACAUGGUGCUCAACAAUAUCAGGAAGAUGAAGCCGUCCAUGUUCAUCCAUGGUAUCGCCAAUGGAUCGCACAGCGCUGCAUUCUUCAUGACGCGGUUCCGCCAAGCGUUAUCCCACUUCACGGCGUUGUUCGACAUGAUGGAGACCAUCAUGCAAGGGAACUAUGACAAGAGAUUGCGGGUGGAGCGGGCCAUUUUUGCUUGGUGUGCCAUCAACAUGAUAGCCUGUGAAGGCGUAGACCGGGUGGAGCGCCCUCAGAACUACAGGGAGUGGCAGGUGCGGAAGAACCGGGCAGGGCUGAGGCAGUUGCCAUUGGACUCUGAUACUGUUCUGAUGCUCAAGAACGAAGUGAAGAAUCAGUACCACAAGCAUUUCAUGAUCGACGAGGAUCACCGUUGGGUUCUGCAGGGAUGGAAAGGCCGGGUUCUCUAUGCCCUGUCAACAUGGGCAGCUGAUGAUGCUGGUGGUUCUGAAUUGUCAUAGAUAUAAAUAGAUAGAGUGCCGAUGGAUAUACAUUUGAUCUGGUGCUUGUGUGUAAUGUACGGCAUAGUAUAUAGCUUUUUCAUCAGCUUUGCUACGUGUUUGUCUGCUGCAGAUGUGUUUGCUGUUAUUCUCUUCUGUAUCUUGUCCAUGUUGUCAAGUUUAAUCUUUUUCUCAGAGCAACUGUCAACAGGCAUACAUUUGGCAGUGAUUCUAGGAUAUAAUCGGCCUGGUAAUCGCAUUUGCAGGCGUGGAGUGCUACUGAAUUGGCCCAAGCACCUAGAUGUACAUUGUCAGUAGAAAUAAGUCCAUUUUACCCCCCUCAACUAAUCGAGAAGUUCAAAAAACACCCUAAACUAUGAAACCGGGUAUUUAACACCCCCCCCCCCCGAACUUUCAAAACCGGACAUCUGACCCCCCGAGGCCUGUUUCCGCUUGGUCUGGGCGGUUUUGACUGGGUUGACCGCCACAUUGGCUGCCUCUCUGGCAAUGCAACGUUGGCUUCAAGAGGCACACAUGAACUGCAGCAAGUGUAAUAGCAACAGUCACAGCAUACAUGAACUUCUUGCUCAUCUCUUCCAGUUCAACUCGCAGGUCAUUGACCUCCUUUUCCAGCUCUUCAAUCCUCAGGUACUGUGAGGCCAAUUCAAACUCCAGCUUCAACUUCUCUUUUUCCGUCCUCAGUUCAUUCUUCAAGCCAUGCUCCUCUGUCUUCUUCCUGGAACCACCGCAGAGACGCUCGUCCAUCAUCUGAAAUACCCCAGCUCUAGGCCAAUCUUCCCCCUCUUCAAGGAAGUCAGGCAUCUACCCGCAAAUCAAAUCGAUUACAUACAAAUCAGAGGGGAAACCAGCAGAGGAAAGAGAAGGAAAACCAAAUCGAAUAACGGCGACGAACAAGGGUUCCUUUGGUCGCCGGAGCUAAAGAACAGAAUUGAGCGAGAGAGAAGACAGAGACGGACUCGGGCGCGGGGGUGGGGGUGGGGGGGGGGGGUAAGACAGGCUCAUAUAGCCCACCUGCCAGCGUAGCAGUGCCAGAGAGGCAGCCAACGUGACGGUCAACCCGGUCAAAACCGCCCAGACCAGGCGGAAACGGCCCAGGGGGGUCAGGUGUCUGGUUUUGAAAGUUCGAGGGGGUUAAAUACCCGGUUUCAUAGUUUAGGGUGUUUUUUGAACUUCUCGAUUAGUUGAGGGGGGGUAAAACGGACUUAUUUCUUGUCAGUAUUCAGGACAAAAAGUUGGGUAUUAAACUUGAUUCAGAAUUUCACUUGUUUCCUGUGUAUCACAACAGCACAAAAAUUCAACAAACAAAAUUGAUUUUUACAAGUCAGUGGCUCCCUCUAUCAGAUAGGGAUCACGAGGAUGGCUGCAACACCAAGAUGAAGAUAAUCUCUACCUCAAAACCCUUCCUUAAUUUGUCCAUAUGUGCAGGCGCUGAUUUAUAAUUAAACCAACCUACUGGAACGUAGACUUCUUAUGGUUCCGAUGGCUAGAACGAUGUGAGCUUGUUGGCUUCACAUGAAAUGGAUGGAGAACAAGAUGACACCUCCACACCAAGUCCAAGAUAUUUCCUGCUGCACUAUGGGUAGCUGAUGAUGCUAGCAUUUCUAACGUGGCAUAGUUUCAACUAUCAAUAGAUGCUUGGGCACAUUUGCUCUGCUUUUGUGAACUUGCUCCAGACAGUUUAUGCAGGUGAUUUGUCUAGCACUAAAGUUGCAUGGGUUAAUUUGAAACUCUUAUAUGUUACAUAAUGAAAUCUUCUGUGCAAUUUGCGCCGAAGUGUUCAUAUCAAGAAUAAAGUCCCGCAUAUCUUUGUUCGUAGAAAUUAUAAACUAAAAACUAAACUGUAGAUUCCCUCAGCUAAACCAAAAGUUUAUUUUGUGGGGAUAUAAUCCCCAACUUAACAAGAAGAAUUGUUUUCCUGGAGAAAUGGUUUUGCGGUUUAUACUUCAUAGCAAAGAUCACCUACCGUUUAUCACAACCACCUUUCCCAUAGAAAUCCCAGACAAUCAAUCAUGUUCUUGUCAAUGCAUGAAUUGACAGUAAAGUCAAUAAAUACACUCCCUUGAAACUAUCACAAGCAGUAGUGCUGCUGAGUAACCUCCCUUGUGAAGUUGCAUGAUGAGAUAUGAUACUUUCUGAGAUAACUGACACCUGAGGAAAAAACAAAGAGGAAUGUAAUAAAAAAGACCAACAUUGGAAACAACUAUCAAUCGCUUUCCCUUGUGAAGUUGCAUGAUGAGAUGAUAUUUUGUGGAAGAUUCCAACAUCUGAAAAUAAGUAAACAAGGAGGAAUGGAAUAAAAGAAAAAGAUCAAGAGAAACCUGCUACCAGGGCCAACGGUACUGAAAAGUACCAAAAGGUAAAACAAAAUUUCACCAAUGGCAGGGACUGUACGGCUUUCGGAAUCAGUGUACAACCGUGCACAUCAAUAUAGUAUGAACCAUCAAAAUAUCCAAGGGGACAAUUUCAAAUAUUAUAUGCGAAUGUGCAGCAGAAAACAACAAAAGACAAACACCAUACACGAAGAUAUGGUAGUAAGAAAGACUCUAACUUAAUACAGAACUAAAGUUCAGAGUAGAGUUAUUCUUGUGCUCCUUAAUUAUAAUUUUCCUAUAUUGUGCAUUAAAUUUUAUACCAACCGAUAGUAUAUCUACACAUUAUUAAUACUACUGCUUAAUCCUAAACUAUCUUCUGUAGCUGCUUGUUAAUUACCUUUACAUGACUGAACAAACAAUUUGACAUAAUUGGCCUGGUAAGAUGGCUGGAGUGUCUUGAAUUUGCAGUUUCUUUAAUCUAACAAGUCCAUUUGUUCACUUGCAGGUGUGAAGUGCUACUGAUUUGGCCAAGCAUGUAGCGGGAAAGAGACAUACGACCGAACAUAGUUACUGGUUACGAAUGUGAUACACACUGUCAAUUUUCAGGACAAAAAGUCUUGUAUAAUUUUUUUUCAGAAUUUGUCUGGCCGGUUCCUGUAUCACAACAAAACAAAAUUUCAAUACGUAAAACAGACGGGGACAAAGGGAUGGCUGCAACACCAAGAUAAAUAUAAUCUCCAACCCCAAACCCUUACUUUGUACACAUUUGCAGAGGCUGCCUGAUGAUUAAACUAACCGUCUGGAAUGUAAAGCUUCGAUGGUUCCAACAGCUAGAAUCGGUG
rnacentral:lncRNA from 1 species